CACGGCGAGGGCAGCCCGGGCUUCGCUGGUUCUCGCCGAGGUCUUUCCUCGUAGCGCCCACACUACGGGGAGGAAAAGGAAUGGAGUCAACUUCGUUCGAAUCCAACGCCAGUUAGUUUCCUUAUUAUAACGUCAUUUUUUUUAAUCCAGAAAAGGUUCAUAAGGAUGUAAGACGAAAAGAACGAUGACAGCUCGAGAAAUAAAACGACUGAGUCUCGCUCUGUUGCCCAGGCUGGAGUAUAGUGGUGCAAUCUCGGCUCACUGCAAUGUCCACCUCCCAGGUUCAAGAGAUUCUCGUGCCUUAGCCUCCCGAGUAGCUGGGAUAACAGGCACCCACCAUCACACCUGCCUAAUGUGUUUAUUUUUUUAAAAAAAGAAACUGUAUCUUUAGAGAAAAUGUAUACAUGCAUACUUUGCUACAUUUUUGUUGAUUGUUACAUUUUACAUUUGUAUAACAAUACAGGCAAGUCAUCUUUGCACUCAUAACCACAUCUUUUAUGGAACAUCAAGCCUACUCUGAGGUACAGGCUUUCAGAAGCCUGAAUUUGGAGGACCAUGCCUGAACCAAAUGGAGUCUCCAGAAUCAAAACUGCUCAAAAUAAUCAUUCAUGGUUCUCAGACCAAAUAAGAUCUACUUAGAAACAUUUCUCGACAGCACGCUGCCAUGCCGACGCAGACCCCACUCUGCACGCCAGCCCCCCUGCACCCACCAUGGCCACAGUUCAGCAGCUAGAAGGAAGAUGGCGCCUGGUGGACAACAAAGGCUUUGAUGAAUACAUGAAGGAGCUAGGAGUGGGAAUAGCUUUGUGAAAAAUGGGCGCAAUGGCCAAGCCAGAUUGUAUCAUCACUUGUGAUAGCAAAAACCUCACCAUAAAAACUGAGAGCACUUUGAAAACAACACAGUUUUCUGGUACCCUGGGAGAGAAGUUUGAAGAAAACACAGCUGAUGGCAGAAGAACUCAGACUGUUUGCAACUUUACAGAUGGUGCAUUGGUUCAGCAUCAGGAGUGGGAUGGGAAGGAAAGCACAAUAACAAGAAAACUGAAAGAUGGGAAAUUAGUGGUGGAGCGUGUCAUGAACCAUGUCGCCUGUACUCGGAUCUAUGAAAAAGCACAAUAAAGAUUCCAUCAUCACUUUGGACAGGAGUUAACCAA
ensembl:lncRNA FABP5P3 fatty acid binding protein 5 pseudogene 3